AAAAUCAAUGUUCGUUUCAGGCUGCAGACUUUCAUGAGCUCCACUGAAGUGAAAUGUAAACCUGCCAAUGGUGAAUUGUGACAACCCCUCUUGUCCAGUAAAUGCAAAAUCCUUCAUCAACUGGACAAGAGGGAGCUUAUUUGAAUUGCAUGGAGACAGAUUCACACAGUAAUACCAUGUAGCAGUAAUAUUGGUAAGGAUGGUGAAGCACUACAAAGGAUGCCUGUGGAGAACAUACCACCUCCAUCACUGAAGGUCUGUAGGAGCAGUUUAGGAAAAAUAUCUGUUGUGGAUAUUAAAAUUGAUCCUUCUGUGGGUAGAGAGGUGGACUACACGACUUCUUAAUGGUGUUUCCAGGGUUAUUCUGCAAGCAUUUUAUGAGCUCUUGAAUAUCAAUAAAUAAAUAUUUGAUUGCAGGUAGCAGCAAAGGAGGUGGAGUUAUGGGGCAAAUCCCACAGAGCCUUCGGGACAGAAAUUCAUGUGCUGCUUCGUUUCAUGUCAGGACUGCGCAGUGCGAACGGCAAAACAUUUCCAAGUCUGCACUAGGACUCGUUUAUAAUCAAAAUGUCUUUGACUUGACAAUGGUUAAUGAUGCUUUGAUAUAGGUUGAUUGCUGGUGAGGGGCGGACGAGGCUCCCCGGGGCACUGUGCUGACGCAGGAGCGAAAACAGGGGAUUAAUUGAUGUUUUCAUACUUGAGGUGCUCCGUGUUUGGUACCUCCCCUCUCCCCCCAGCUUAGAUUUAAUACCACAUUGCACCGCAGGGACCUGACGGAGAUUUCUGGCCGUGAUAGCUCUAUUGCACCAAGCCGCUGCCUCGCUCCCCACCUGGCCAGGCGCUGCUGCUGCUCUUUUCGUCACAUCGCCGGCUGAGUCACCGGGUGACGGAUGGCACUGAGGAACAUUUCCUGGAGACACGGCGGAGCCCCCGCCGAGCAGGCUCCUGUCACCGCUGUCUGUCCCCACGCUGAAUUAAAGAUGGGAAGAAAGGAAGGGCUGUGCUCCCCCGCGUCUCUGCGGCUUAAUCUUGAAUGUAAUCAAGCCAGACCUUCAGAAAGCAGGAAUUAUUGCACAUAUCACCAGGAGGCACCUGUGGAGCGAUGCUGCAGGACAAGAGGGACAGUCAUCGCCUGCUUCACCACAGUGGGAGUGAGCAUUAGUACUGCCAGCCUGAUGGCUCGGGGGGGCUGCAGACCUCCGGAGCCCUCCCUGGUGUGAGCAGCCGUGCUGGCACCGACGUCCAUCUGCUGAGGUGGCACUUUGCCCUGCUCUCAAGCCUGCGGUGCCAGCUCUGACGAGACGUAGGUGCUAAUCAAACACAGAUUUCAGUGGGGCAGGGAGGAGAGGAGGAAAUGGCAUUUUAUCAUCAGACAGCCUUCUGUGCCAGACCAAACACUAUGCAUCAUUGCGAAGGAACUGUCGCUUGGCAUCUUACAUGAAAAAAACACCCUAUUAGCUGAAAAACACCCUUCUCCUCUUAACAGGCAGAUGGAAAUUGUGUAUCAAUGUUAUUAACAGGGCAGCAUUGCUUUCAGUUCAGAUCUAUACUCACCCUGGCCUUGGGUCCCUUGAGAUGUAACCUAAGCUGUAUGAAUCAGAAGGUGCAAGGGCAUUCUGCUGCUUAUCUUCUGCUCCAGGGCUGGGGUUUGUUUUCUCUAUGCUGGCUGGAAAAAAAAAA